GCUCAACCCCGAGCGGCCAUUGGAAACUGGGGGGCUUGAGUGCAGAAGAGGAGAGUGGAAUUCCACGUGUAGCGGUGAAAUGCGUAGAGAUGUGGAGGAACACCAGUGGCGAAGGCGACUCUCUGGUCUGUAACUGACGCUGAGGCGCGAAAGCGUGGGGAGCAAACAGGAUUAGAUACCCUGGUAGUCCACGCCGUAAACGAUGAGUGCUAGGUGUUAGGGGUUUCGAUGCCCGUAGUGCCGAAGUUAACACAUUAAGCACUCCGCCUGGGGAGUACGGCCGCAAGGCUGAAACUCAAAGGAGUUGACGGGGACCCGCACAAGCAGUGGAGCAUGUGGUUUAAUUCGAAGCAACGCGAAGAACCUUACCAGGUCUUGACAUCCUUUGACCACCCAAGAGAUUGGGCUUCCCCUUCGGGGGCAAAGUGACAGGUGGUGCAUGGUUGUCGUCAGCUCGUGUCGUGAGAUGUUGGGUUAAGUCCCGCAACGAGCGCAACCCUUGAUCUUAGUUGCCAGCAUUGAGUUGGGCACUCUAAGGUGACUGCCGGUGACAAACCGGAGGAAGGUGGGGAUGACGUCAAAUCAUCAUGCCCCUUAUGACCUGGGCUACACACGUGCUACAAUGGAUGGUACAAAG
rnacentral:rRNA from 1 species